CCUACGGGGGGCAGCAGUGGGGAAUUUUCCGCAAUGGGCGAAAGCCUGACGGAGCAACGCCGCGUGAGGGAUGAAGGCCUCUGGGCUGUAAACCUCUUUUCUCAAGGAAGAAGAUCUGACGGUACUUGAGGAAUAAGCCACGGCUAAUUCCGUGCCAGCAGCCGCGGUAAUACGGGAGUGGCAAGCGUUAUCCGGAAUUAUUGGGCGUAAAGCGUCCGCAGGCGGCCCUGUAAGUCUGUCGUUAAAGCGUGGAGCUUAACUCCAUUUGAGCGAUGGAAAC
rnacentral:rRNA from 1 species